rnacentral:lncRNA from 1 species
UUCAGCCUCCAUUAAUUCAUGGUAAAGAGGACCACAUUAACCAGGAAGGUAAAACUACUAUUGGAAAUAACUUGGGACAGUGCUGGAAGCAGGAAUCUGAACUGACUGCCUGGUGCUUAAGAAGGUGAAUAAUGACUUGGAGAAGACCUCAUGCGUAUCUUUUGAUCUUUGGGCUUCAGACACCCCUUCACCCAUAAUUAACUUGUGUGUUGACUGAUCACCUGAGUGAUCAAGGGAGACUCGGUAUGUCAGUGGAAACCAGGAAACUAUUAUUCUGUGGCAAAACAGCAAUCAAGCCAACUCGCUUAUGAUACAAAUCAGAUACCUGCAAGAACAAGUCACGUAAUGGGAAAACGUGUUGCAAUAAUACGCAGCAUACAGAACAACCACGCUCUCUCUGGUUACAGCUGAACGACACCACAGCAGCAGCAGAAUAUGUACAAAUUAAACUGUAACAGUGUACCAAGGAGAGGUAUGGUAAUAUCAUAAAAAUUAUCCACAGUACAAUAUGACUAAUGUUGUGUGAAAUGCAUUCACUGGCAAAAUGAUGUUUAGGUGUAUCUGAAGGAGUUAUGCUGAUGGAGUUAAUGGUUAUGGAACAUAGAUAACGGGAGGAAAGGCGACUGAAAGACGAAAGGUUGCAGCAAGGGCAGUGCGGCUGCUCGGCUGAGGAGGACUGUCCAGCAGGCGUAUUGGAAGGUGGGAGAACUGAAACAUAAAGGGAUGUGAUAAGAAUAAAGUUGUAUCUCUCCUGCUCA